UACCCGCAGCUCAAGUGGUGGUCAUUAUUAUUGGGCCUAAAGCGUCCGUAGCUGGCUUGUUAGAUGCCUGGGUAAAUCGAUGCGCUUAACGUAUCGAAUUCCGGGUAGACCGGCAAGCUCGAGACCGGGAGAGGCGUGAGCUACUCAAGGGGUAGGGGUAAAAUCCUGUAAUCCUUUGGGGAGGACCAGUGGCGAAGGCGUCACGCUAGAACGGCUCUGAUAGUGAGGGACGAAGCCCUGGGGCGCAAACCGG
rnacentral:rRNA from 1 species